UUACCCAGAAUAUAAAAGAAUCAAGGAAGAAAAUUUGUCAAAACAGGUUUUGCAUUGGAAACAAGUUAAUUGAAUGCAUGCAGUUUCAUCUGAGACAUGUCCUUCAAGAUUUUAAAACUAGUAAAUCUGAUUUUUGCAAAUGACUGCUAACCUAGGAACAAAACUGAGCAAAAUAAUUUGCACUGGUUUUUUCAGUGCCAGUUGCUUUUCCUACUUUGACUGACAUAGUUGUUGAUCUGAUUUUAGGGAGUUGUGGAAUAUAGAAUCAUAGAACAGUCUCAAGAUUGCUGCCUCUUGUUCUUCUGGGGGACUUCGAUUUACCAGAUGUCUGCUUGGAAUAUAAUACCACAGAGAGGAAGCAGUCUAGGAGGUUCCUGGAGUGUAUGGAAGAUAAAUUCCUAAUUCAGCUGGUGAGGGAACCAAAUAGGGAAGGCGCCCCACUGAACCUGUUGUUUGCCAAGAGGAAAGGACUGUUGUGUGAUGAGGAGAUUGGAGGAUGCCUUGGGCACAGCGAUCCUGAAAUGAUGAUGCUAUCAAUUCGCACAGAAAGGAGAAUUUUGAAUAGUAAUAACUUGGAGGGAGAGUUUGGAGCACAUACAGUCCAUACAGAGUUCUGGAAAAAUUGAAAUUUAAUAUUUGGAAGACAAAUGGAUGGGGCCUCCUCAAAAGACUGAUCUGCUGUUUUAGUUAUUUUAUUUUAGUAAAGGCACUCCAAAUGUGUAAA